rnacentral:lncRNA from 1 species
AUUUAGAACAGGAGACAGCAGGUAGCUGUGUGUGGGCAGGAAGGUGAGGAGAGAGGAGCCGGUCUGCGUGGUCUAACUGGUGUUGAUGUGAAGCUUGGCACUAAUGACUGAGGAUUUCCUUGGAUACUCUUGCUCUUCUCUGUGUAGAUUGGAGAGUUUGGCAGAGGUCAGAGGUCAGAGAAGCGAGAAGAUGCACCAGGAAUGAGGGGAGCAGAGCACCACAGACGCCCCACGUUUCCAGGUGCCGUUGACCUGGAGCGAUGGCAAAAAAUAACUUGUGAAGAAAAUGAACGUGUCUAACUUGGAAUGGCAAGGAUUCACCCCACGCCAAACAAAUGGAAGCAUCAUCAGCGUCACUGUCAUCGUCGGCGUCCAGCAGACUUGUCUCCAGACGGUGAGGGAGGGAGGUCGUGUGCGUCACCAGCAGGCCAGGAAGAACGAGUCACCACGGACAGUGGGAACACCAGGUGCUCCAGAGAGGAAUCUGAGACACGAGACGGCGAGGUGAUGUAAGGACAAGCGGGGGCUUCAGCUCUGGAGACGCCUGCAUUUGAAGUUCAGCCCUAGUGCCAUGUGUUUCCUUUUGUAAUUGUCAUUCAUGCUCCGAACCGAC